CAGGUGUGUGUGCAUGAGGUAACAGGGAGGAGGCUGGUGACACACAAACACACACACACACAGAGACUGAGCGAGGUCUGAGGAGAGAAGCAUAUGAUCUGCACCAGAGCAUAAAUAGAUUUGUCUCCAGCAGCGCUGCAGUGCUCCUGUGGAUCUGUAGAGCAGCCUCAGAAGAAGAAAACCCCGCCUCCUCCCAGGCCAUGCCCCGCCCAGCACACACCGAGGCCAUGCCCCACUCCCUCAGCCACGCCCAGAGCACAGAAACCCCACGUGCCCCCUAAGCCUGUGCACCUGCUCGGUCCUGUCCCUCCAGUGCCCCGCCGACCCCUGCCCAGUCCCCCUCUGAGAGCCAGAGUCCCGUCUGCAGGACCCAUCCACAGCUCCAGGUAAGAGCUGAGCAUCGUCUGUGUGUCAUACUGUGUGAGCUGAGACUCGGAUUAGAGAUG
ensembl:lncRNA